GAUCGCUGCUGGCCUGUCAGGGACGUCCACACACACACACACACACACACACACGGCUACACCUUGUCGGACGGAGGCAGCCUGCGGAGAUUCACAGGAUCACAAAGGACACACUGACAUCAGCGGCCCAGAUAAACGCUCCUCUCCCCAUCCUGUCGUCGCCCAGUGGACCUUCAGUUGAAUCACCCGGUUUGGCAAAUGGUAAUGAAAGCUGCUUGUUCCCAUGUGGAUUACCUGGAUUAAAUAUGGACACCUCUCCUUCGGCCACAGACGGACACUUUCUUCUGCUGUCUCAAGAAUAAACCACUGGCCUCCACACAACG
ensembl:lncRNA